GCAGCCUCUGCGGAGGCGCCGGAGCCUCCCGGGACGCGUCUCGACGCACCGCGCGGGAGCCGCUGCCCCGGGAGCGGCACCGAGAACCCUGUCGAGGGCCAGCAGAAAGGCGGCCGCGCAGAGCGGCUCCUCCUGGCAGGAGAGCCCCMUCCUUGAAGGCAAAGCGAGAAAUCCUCACGCAACGGCGGCAGCAAACGAUUCGCCGACUACCUUGGCCAGAGUCGCCGAGCUGGAGACCUGGGGCUGCCCAUGGGCACGGACGGGACUAACCAAGGCUCGGACGGGUCUUGGUGCAAGCGGCCAAGGCCGCCCGAGCGCCGCGGGCUCCCGGUUCUGGGAAAGGAACUGGCGGCCUCGGGGGCUCGGGAAGGUGUCGGGCUCUCUGGCAUUUGUUCCUUUCCGUGGCGGGUCCUUGAUGACGGUCUCGGUAAUAUUCGGUUCUAAAUUCUACAGAGUAGCCACAAAAAUAGAAAUGUGGCCAGUCUAUCUGGAGUGGUUUAUUUACUAUGAAAACGAUGCCGUUCCAGCCUUCCCUGCAA